rnacentral:SRP_RNA from 1 species
GACCGGACUAGGUCGGGCGGUUAGGCCCCGCUCCCUCGCCCGCGGUAUGGUCUUCAGCGGGGGCCGAACCUGGGUGCGUCCGGUCAGACUGGCGCGGACCCCGGAAGCUAACGUGGAAGCCUCGUCCCUCGGGGGCGGCGGCCCGCGGCGACCACCCGCAGGGGCACGGAAGUGAGCAGCGGACCGCCGGACACCCGUCGCUCGGGGGGUCGCGGGGUGGAGGAGGCCACCGGGACUAUCCACGUCGGAACGCCGGGCAAUCUCGGCGUCCACAU